UUUUUCUGCCACCGAAUACAUUAGCAUGGGAUAAUGGAAUAGGACCCUGUCCUCCUAUUUUCAGUUGGUUUUGGCAGCGCGAGGACUAGGGUAAUGAUUAAUAGGGAUAGUUGGGGGCAUUAAUAUUUAAUUGUCAGAGGUGAAAUUCUUGGAUUUAUGAAAGAUUAACUUCUGCGAAAGCAUCUGCCAAGGAUGUUUUCAUUAAUCAAGAACGAAAGUUAGGGGAUCGAAGACGAUCAGAUACCGUCGUAGUCUUAACCAUAAACGAUGCCGACCAGCGAUUAGGAGACGUUGAAUACAAAACACCACCAUCGGCGCGGUCGUCCUUGGCGUUCGUGUUCACGCACGAGCGCGAGGGCGGUUUAGCCCGGUGGCACCGGUGAAUGACUCCCCUAGCAGCUUGUGAGAA
rnacentral:rRNA from 1 species